rnacentral:misc_RNA from 1 species
UUUCCGUAGGUAAGUUAAACCAUCCGUCCCGCAUCUUCUCGACCGAGCCGUCGCUCACAUCUUCCAGGUGAACCUGCGGAAGGAUCAUUAUCGUGUUCGGCUCCGGCCAUCACGCCCCCUGUGUACCUCUGGUUUCUUUGGCGCUCCGGCGUCAGACUUUUAAACCAUUCGUUGAACGAGACGGUCUGGGUCCCACGAAACGAUUAAAACUUUCAACAACGGAUCUCUUGGUUCCAGCAUCGAUGAAGAACGCAGC